UAUUUUGACCACUACUAUACCUCUUGUCAUUGUGGCCAAAUAGCUUAAUAUUUGUCUCAUCUGGCCAUAAAACUUUUCUCGAGAAGGCAUUUGUCUUGUCCAUGUGGACAG